rnacentral:rRNA from 1 species
CAGAAGCUUGGUCCUGACUUUAUUGUCAGCUUUUANUUUAUUUACACAUGCGAGUAUCCGCCCCCGUGUGAGAAUGCCCACCUACGCCCUUCUGGGCUCAAGGAGCUGGUAUCAGGCACGCACUUCGCAGCCCAUAACACCUUGCUUAGCCACACCCCCAAGGGACUUCAGCAGUGACAAAUAUUAAGCCAUGAGUGAAAACUUGACUUAAUAAAAAUAAAAAGAGCUGGUCAAAUCUCGUGCCAGCCACCGCGGUUAAACGAGAAGCUCAAGUUGACAAGCAACGGCACAAAGCGUGGUUAGGGACUAAUCUUAAACUAAAGCCAAACCAUUUCAGAGCCGUUAUACGCAUACGAAAACAUGAAGCCCAACAACGAAAGUGGCUUUACCCACCCUGAACCCACGAAAGCUAAGAAACAAACUGGGAUUAGAUACCCCACUAUGCUUAGCCCUAAACAUCGACUAACACAACAAGUCUCCGCCCGGGAACUACGAACAUAAGUUUAAAACCCAAAGGACUUGGCGGUGCUUAACUUCCCCCUAGAGGAGCCUGUUCUAGAACCGAUAAUCCCCGUCUAACCUCACCCUCCCUUGCUCCGUCCCGCCUGUAUACCUCCGUCGUCAGCUUACCCUGUAAAGGACACAUAGUAAGCAAAAUUGGUAACACCCAAUACGUCAGGUCGAGGUGCAGCGAAUGGUAGGGAAAGAAAUGGGNUACAUUCGCUAUAACCCUAGCGAACACGAAUACACACGUUGAAACACGCAAUUGA